GAUGAACGCUGGCGGCGUGCCUAAUACAUGCAAGUCGAGCGAGCGGACGAGAAGCUUGCUUCUCUGAUGUUAGCGGCGGACGGGUGAGUAACACGUGGAUAACCUACCUAUAAGACUGGGAUAACUUCGGGAAACCGUAGCUAAUACCGGAUAAUAUUUUGAACCGCAUGGUUCAAAAGUGAAAGACGGUCUUGCUGUCACUUAUAGAUGGAUCCGCGCUGCAUUAGCUAGUUGGUAAGGUAACGGCUUACCAAGGCAACGAUGCAUAGCCGACCUGAGAGGGUGAUCGGCCACACUGGAACUGAGACACGGUCCAGACUCCUACGGGAGGCAGCAGUAGGGAAUCUUCCGCAAUGGGCGAAAGCCUGACGGAGCAACGCCGCGUGAGUGAUGAAGGUCUUCGGAUCGUAAAACUCUGUUAUUAGGGAAGAACAUAUGUGUAAGUAACUGUGCACAUCUUGACGGUACCUAAUCAGAAAGCCACGGCUAACUACGUG
rnacentral:rRNA from 1 species